rnacentral:rRNA from 1 species
UUGAUUAGUGGCGCACGGGUGAGUAAUGCAUAGAUAAUGUGCCCCUUAGUUCGGGAUAGCCACUGGAAACGGUGAUUAAUACCGGAUACUCCUUCUUGUUAUAAGACAAGUCGGGAAAGUUUUUCGCUAAGGGAUCAGUCUAUGUUCCAUCAGCUUGUUGGUGAGGUAAUGGCUCACCAAGGCUAUAACGGAUAUCUGGUUUGAGAGGAUGAUCAGACACACUGGAACUGAGACACGGUCCAGACUCCUACGGGAGGCAGCAGUGAGGAAUAUUGCACAAUGGAGGAAACUCUGAUGCAGCAACGCCGCGUGGAGGAUGACGCAUUUCGGUGUGUAAACUCCUUUUAUUAGGGAAGAUAAUGACGGUACCUAAUGAAUAAGCACCGGCUAACUCCGUGCCAGCAGCCGCGGUAAUACGGAGGGUGCAAGCGUUACUCGGAAUCACUGGGCGUAAAGGGUGCGUAGGCUGGCUUUUAAGUCAGAUGUGAAAUCCAAUGGCUCAACCAUUGAACUGCAUUUGAAACUGAAAGCCUAGAGUUCAGAAGGGGCAGAUGGAAUUAGUGGUGUAGGGGUAAAAUCCGUAGAUAUCACUAGGAAUAUCAAAAGCGAAGACGAUCUGCUGGGAUGAUACUGACG